rnacentral:tRNA from 1 species
GCCAUGGUGGUCCAACAGUUAAGUGCUUGGCUGCUAACCAAAAGGUCGGCGGUUCAAACCCCCCCAGUGGCU